GACGAACGCUGGCGGCGUGCCUAACACAUGCAAGUCGAACGGAGAAUUAGCAAUAAUUCUUAGUGGCGAACGGGUGAGUAACGCGUAGACAACCUACCCUUUAGAUGGGGACAACACCGCGAAAGUGGUGCUAAUACCGAAUAUUGUUUGAGAAGAGCAUGCUUUUCAAACUAAAGAUGGCCUCUAUUUAUAAGCUAUCGCGAAAGAAUGGGGCUGCGUCUGAUUAGCUAGUUGGUGAGAUAAAAGCUCACCAAGGCAACGAUCAGUAGCAGGUCUGAGAGGAUGAACGGCCACACUGGGACUGAGACACGGCCCAGACUCCUACGGGAGGCAGCAGUGGGGAAUCUUCCGCAAUGGACGAAAGUCUGACGGAGCAACGCCGCGUGAGUGAUGAAGGUUUUCGGAUCGUAAAACUCUGUUGUUAAGGACGAAUGUAUAGAUUGUGAAUAAUGGUUUAUAAUGACGGUACUUAACGAGGAAGCCACGGCUAACUACGUGCCAGCAGCCGCAGUAA
rnacentral:rRNA from 1 species